rnacentral:rRNA from 1 species
AAUGAACGUUGGCGGCGUGGAUUAGGCAUGCAAGUCGAGGGAGAACCCCGCAAGGGGGGACACCGGCGAACGGGGUAGGAACACCUCGGUGACGUACCCUCAGGACGGGGAUAGCGGCGGGAAACUGCCGGUAAUACCCGAUGAUCUGACAGGACUUGAAGGCCUGUCAGCAAAGGUGAGAUUCCACCUGAGGACCGGCUGAGGCGCUAUUAGCUUGUUGGUGAGGUCACGGCUCACCAAGGCGACGAUGGCUAGGGGGUGUGAGAGCAUGGCCCCCACCACUGGCACUGAGACACUGGCCAGACACCUACGGGUGGCUGCAGUCGAGAAUCUUCGGCAAUGGGCGCAAGCCUGACCGAGCGACGCCGCGUGCGGGAUGAAGGUCUUCGGAUUGUAAACCGCUGUCGGGA